GCUGCUCAGCCUUCUGGAUGGAUUGGCUUUGGUGUGUCAACUGCACCUACAAGUCCUUUUGGUUGUUCUUCAACAUUUGGUCAAACAUUGUCAAAUCCUCUUUCCAGCAAAAGUACCAAUCCAUUUAGUCUAAAACCUCCAUCCUUUACAGGUUUUACAACCUCGACUGCUAUAUCAAAUCCUUUUCAAUGGACAUCAUCAAGCCUUUUUAUCCUAACUUCGGCAUCAACAUCUUCAAUAUGUGGUUCCUUUUGAGUGCAAGUUCAUAUCAUAUAUAAAUAAUUAAAUUCUUUUGAGUUCUCUUGUAGGAACCCAAUCUUCUGUACUGGCAUUUGGAAGCACUAGCUUUGGCCAGUCACCUUUUGGGGGUCGACAUGGGGGAAGUAGAGUAGCUCCUUAUACACCUACAACUAAAGCAGAUAGUUCGAGUGGUACAGAGUCAGCUGCAAAGUUGGAGUCAAUAUCAGCGAUGCCUGUUUACAAAGAUAAAAGUCAUGAGGAGCUGAGAUGGAAGGAUUAUCAGUUAGGAGAUAAAGGUAACUUUGUAAAAUAUUGUACAACCCUGAAAGUUAAUCAUUCUUCUUUUCAUGUGUUUGAAUUUAUCCUUGCUUAUAUCAAUUAUGAUUAAUUUACAGUGGUCUGCACCACCUGACCUAGCCUGCUGAGUGAUGGCUUUGGAAUGUUGAUCAACUGCACUACAAUGUCGUAUUGUUGUUUCUUCAACAUUGGCAUACAAAACAUCAUUCAAUCUAAAUUUUUCUCCACAAUUACACAUCUCUUUAGUCUAAACUCCGAUCCUUUAAUAGUACAGGUUUACAACUUGACUGCUAUAUCAAAUCCUUUCAAUGACAUCAUCAAGCCUUUUGGCCAACUGUCAUCAAAAUCUUAAAAGGUCUUCUUCCACUCCUACGUUGAAUGUUCAUCCUUUAGUCUGUCUUGUCACUCCUCAAUCAACUCACGUCCAUUUUGUGCUGGCGAGCUCCUCAACAAUCCAGCAUUUGCUACUGGUUUAAAUUUAGCAUUUGCUACUGGUUCAAAUUCUACCCUGCAUUGGGCAGUAAACAAGCAAGCUUUUGGGUGGAUGACUCUACCUUUGGACAGAAUACUAAGUAACUUUGGUCAAACAGCAUUUUCAAACACGCCUUCCACUGGAUUUAUUGGGAAUAUGUUUUCGAGUCUCUAUCCUUGGCUCCUUCUAGUAACCCAGCUGCCUUCGGCACACCUGUUAAGGUUAUAAUGUUUGUUGCUUAGUCUUCAAUUUGAUCUAAGCGCUUUAUUCUGUACAUUUUCAUCAUUCUGUUUUAGGGUUGCAGAAUUAUCUGCAUUUCUUCCUUCUUUUAUUGAACUGAAGAGUUCAAAAAUAAUUGUCUACUGGUUGAGCCCUGUGGUGUAUGAUUGAUUGAAAAGUGGACUAGAUAUCCAAUUUAAUUGCUGAUAGGAUUCAGAUAUUUGCUUCUCAAUACGCCAAUUACAAUGCUAAACUUCUCGAUACAUUUCACAGAGGCGGAUUAAGUUGCCUUCAAGGAAAUAAUAUUUAGGUGAGGGUCCUACCACUCAUGAAAGAGCAACUCUAAUCCGCUGAUAUAAAAUAUUAUUACAUUCCUCACCAUAUAAGAUUACAGUUCUUACGUGUUUAUUUCAUUUGUUAAUCGAUAUCUUUAGGAUUCAUUUUUCAGUGAUGAUGAAGAUACACCCAGCACACCUAAGUCUGAUGCUGUUUUUAUUCCUAGGGAAAACUCAAGGGCUCUGGGCAUUUAUCCUAGAGCUGGUCGACGGGAAAGGGCUGGUCGAGGGGAGAUGGGAUGUUAGUGCUCUUACCUGAAUCUUUGAAUUUUAAGGAGUCUCUGUUCAUGCUUUAAAUCGUACAUAGGUAUGCAUGCCUGUAGUUAUAUGUAUUACUUUUUUUGGACUGAAUAUUUAUGUCCUUUUCACUUGGAUUUCUUUUUUUUUUUUGAUAAUUUCUCACUUGGAAUAUCGAUACAUGGAGUAUCAACCAAUAUUUGUAUCUGAAACAAAUUUAUUUAAAACCAGUGAUAUUAGUGUGGAAUAAGUCAAUCAUAAUUGAUUGUAACCGGUGAAAGUGAAGAAAAGAAUUUAGUAAAAGUUGUGGAGAAGUGUGGAGAAAGGAUGUUAGGGUUAGUUUAGCAUUGUAAUAGGCGUUGAAAAAUUUUAGAUGGAAAAAAAUUGUAUUUAAAAAGUGUAGUAAGAAAAAUAUGUUUAAAAGGUUUGGGUGGAAAAAAAUGUUUUGAGAAAGUGUAAUAAGAAAUGUGAUCGAAAAAAUGUUUUGGUAUUAAUAUGAAAAAAAUACUAAUAUGUCAAUAAUUUAUGUUUAAAUUUAUAUUUAUAAAAUAACAAAAUAUAAAAAAUAUAUGGAUAAUAUGAUUUUUUUUAUUCAAAAUACUUUUUUUUUUCAACGCAAAAACAACCCUUGAUGAGUUUUUUAGUUUGGGCUAGCAAAAUCAAAAUUUUUAACUAAAAACUUAUAUAUAUUUUUUAGUGUUUAGCAAUGAGAUUAGAUCAAAAGCAGUUUUUGAAGAUAAAUGAUUUUCGACAGUAAUAUUGAACUAGACCUAAAUUUAGUGGAUGAGUUGUGUAUUAGAUAAAUUAUAUAGGCAAAGAAGCACUAUGGUAAAAUUUCACUUAUGGUACGUGGCAAAAUUUCCUCUUAUCAUAAUAUAUUAUUUUUCUUCUAAUAUUUUUAAUUUAAAAUGAUUUAUUUUGGUGCGCAAAGAUGAAAAACAACCUUCUUUUAUAUAUUUUUUUUCCUCUAACUUUUUUCUUUUAUCAAAUAAUAAUGAAAAUUAUAUUCUUUUCACUUUUUUAUUCACUCUCUUUCAACAGUCACUUCCAUCCACUAAUUCUUUUUACAUUAAUAAAAAAUUUAUUUAUUAAAAAUAAAACCCACAUUUAGUAUGAUCAUUAACCAAACGUUCUAUAUUAUUUUAGUCUAAAAUUUAAAAUUUCAAAUAAUGCAUAAAAAAUUCCUAUUAUACAUCAACUUAAGAUUCAUAAAUAUUAAUUGUUCACACGUAUUAUCGCGUUAUUAAAGUUUAUUGAAUAGAUUUAAAAUUUAUUGGUAUAAUUUAUAUUUAAAUGAUCAUAUAUAUAUUUUUAAAUGUCUUAACGUAUGUUAUUUUUUAAGUUUUAAAAAUAUAAGUUGAUAAAUUUUUGUAUUUGAUUUUUUUUGUAAUAUUUAAGUAAACAGAAGAAUAAAUAAAAAAUAUUUUAUAAUUUGAUCAUUAAAUUAAUAAGUUAUUAAUUUUUAUCCUUUUUCAUUUUUCUACCAAACAAAAACUUAAUCCUAAAUAACAAUUGAAAAAUAAAAAGAGAACGUAGAUAUAAGAAAAAUAGGGCUUCGGUUUGGAAAUUGGAACUCAUAAUUGGAUGCCAUUUCGACCAUUCUCAUCUCAUGUUAACGAAACUGAGAUUUGAGACUUCCCAAAUUUGGGCUCAUCAAUGAAGGGCCUAAAGUAAAACUAAUAAGUAAGCAAAUCUCCGGGCCCUAAGAAAAACUCAAAAAAUUUUCCAGAGAUGACGUGGCAACCCGUUAGUUUUUGCCGUGGACCCCAUCAGACAAUCGGGUUUGGUGAGGCCAGAGAACCAGAAGAGAAACGCGAUUUUCAAUUCCCACCAACCCCCGAUUUGGCGUUUGGAAAUUCACCUUCUUUUUUCUGGUUGCCUUGCUUGGAGUUUGGUUGGUGAAGCCUUCCACUGAAGUCAAUCAUUGUAUCCAACACCUACCACCACCAGACAUCAAAAACAAGUUUUUUUUUUUAUUUUGAUACCAGAAUUCCACUCUCAAUUAACCGAAACAAAGGUACGAAAUUUCCUCUAAUCUUUGUCUCAUAGAAAUGGCACAGGUUAGCAAAAUCUACAAUGGAACACAAAAUAUAUGUCUUGUGCCCAAUGUCUCAAAACCCCAGAAGCCCAAAUCUGUUCCUUCAGUUUUAUUCAGAUCAAAUCUUGAAGGAGGUUUUUCAAGUUCUUUGGGUUUAGUUGUGAAGAGCAAUGGCAGGUUGGGAACAAUUAAGGUUGGGUCGUUGAAGGUUUCGGCUUCAACAGUAACAGAUAAGCCAUCCAGAGCAUCAGAAAUCGUUCUUCAACCAAUCAAUGAAAUAUCGGGUACGGUUAAGUUACCCGGGUCCAAAUCAUUAUCCAAUCGGAUUCUGCUUCUCGCUGCUCUAUCUGAGGUAUGUUGAUUUCAUAGUAUUUAUAUUCUUUAAUUAGUUUAUGUUUUAAUGUUUGUUCGAUAUGUAGGGAACUACUGUGGUAGACAAUUUGUUGAAUAGUGAUGAUGUUCAUCACAUGCUUGUUGCUUUGGGAAAACUUGGGCUAUAUGUGGAACAUGACAGUGAAAAAAAACGAGCCAUUGUGGAAGGUUGCGGUGGUCAAUUUCCAGUAGGGAAAGGGGAAGGUCAAGAAAUUGAGCUUUUCCUUGGGAAUGCUGGAACUGCGAUGCGACCUCUUACUGCUGCUGUUACAGCUGCGGGUGGCAAUUCAAGGUCUGUCCAAUUAUUUUCAUUUUAACAAAGAUAUAAUUUGGAAAUGUAACCAUUUAAUCAUUUCACAGUAGCUGGUUUCCUAUAUAAGGAAUCCAACUGUUGAAAAGGACCUAUUAGUUGAGUAAACAAAAUGUUGCAUUUUCAUGGAACUAUCUGCUUAUAUGCUGAUGCUUUUUGUUUUGUGUAUUACUAUCAAUUUUUUGAGCUAAUGCAUAUAUGUUACACGUCUCUUUAGCUACAUACUUGAUGGCAUACCACGAAUGAGAGAGAGACCUAUUGGGGACUUAGUUACUGGUCUUAAGCAGCUGGGUGCAGAUGUUAAUUGUACUCUUGGCACAAAUUGUCCCCCUGUUCUUAUAAAUGGAAAGGGUGGUCUUCCUGGGGGAAAGGUAUGUCUCAAAUCAAUUUGUUAUGUUACUGUGGUUUCAUAUCAUUGGAUAAACUGCUUUUAUGAAGGUCAUCCUGGAACCUCAUUAGAAAUUGCCUUUCUAAGGUAGAUAUGGGGAGCCACAUAAGCUACCACUAGAAAUGAGCUUCCAUUCCAUGUUAUUGCCCAAUAAAUAUUACCUUCAGUUAAACUUUCAAUUGUCAUGCUCAUGAAAGCCAAUAUUUUAACCUUCUGUUGAUGUAUGGAUGAGAAUUAGUUUGUAAUGCUGUCUGUUGAAAUACGAGUUAUGGCAGUUUGGAUAAACUUUUACGUGGAUUCUCUUUUCAUUUUUUGGAUUUUUCUAUGUCUAUUACUUGCUUGCCAGGUGUUACUUGAAUGUUGCUUUUUGCGUAUACAUGGGAAUGAUCAACUUGUUAACUAGUUAGUAUUAAUCAUUGAUGUGGCACAUAUCUUCCUUGGGCCAUUUUUGGUAAAGGAACCCUUGAUCUUAAAUUCUUGAAAAUGCAAAAGGAGAGGGAAAGUAGAUUUUCCUAUCUGUCUAACUAUUCAUUUCAGCAAAUUAAUCAUAUUCAUUAUAUUAUGUCUGAGACUUUGGACUAUUUGUAAGGUCUAAGCGUUGUCUUCUUUUGCUUAUGUUAACUUCUAGGUUGUGUAAAAGAAAAGACUAUAUUUUGACCAAAAUAAAAAGGAAAAAGACUAUCUGACUUAACUUCUGGUGUUGCCCAAUUCCAAUAUUCAUGAUAUACAUCUGGUGUGGAUCCUUUUCCAGGUGAAACUCUCUGGAUCAAUCAGUAGUCAAUACUUGACUGCUUUACUCAUGGCAGCUCCUUUGGCUCUUGGGGAUGUAGAAAUUGAGAUAAUUGAUAAAUUGAUUUCAAUCCCAUAUGUUGAAAUGACUAUAAAAUUGAUGGAAAGGUUUGGGGUCACUGUGGAGCACACUGAUAGCUGGGAUCGGUUCUAUAUCCAGGGAAGUCAAAAGUACAAGUAGGUUUCUAUGACGUGCACCCAUGUAAAUAGCUGUACAAUUCCAUAUUCUGUUUCUACUUAAAGUCAUAAAUUGAUAAAUCUUUCAGGUCUCCUGGAAAUGCUUAUGUUGAAGGUGAUGCUUCAAGUGCUAGUUACUUCCUUGCUGGUGCAGCAGUCACUGGUGGGACUGUCACUGUAGAAGGAUGCGGUACAAGUAGUUUACAGGUACUUUUUGUUGUGAAGUCCAUGAAUGUUGUUAAGUUCCCUACCAAAUUAAAUUAUAUCAUAUGUUUCCAGUGUGAGUGGAAGUAUUUGCCUUGGAUUUCUUACAACAUUACUUUCUGCCUUUCAAAAGUGUUGUUGAACUGUUUGGGCUGUCUUUAAGGCUGAUCCUGGAUUCCUUUUCAUUGAUUAUUGCAAAUUGUUUUUCCACUAGAGUUAUCAUACUACCUAGGAUGUGCUGCAUCUGAACAUAAACUCAUGCUUAUUUUUCUUUGUUUUUCUUUUGAUCAAGGGUGAUGUAAAAUUUGCUGAGGUUCUUGAGAAAAUGGGUGCCAAAGUCACCUGGACUGAGAACAGCGUCACUGUCAUUGGACCCCCAAGAAAUUCAUCUGGAAGGAAAAACUUGCAUGCUAUCGAUGUCAACAUGAACAAAAUGCCAGAUGUUGCCAUGACCCUCGCUGUUGUUGCCCUUUAUGCUGAUGGUCCCACUGCCAUCAGAGAUGGUAUGAUCUGGCCUUUUGUUUCUCUAAGAUGAACAUGUUUUGUUAUGCAUGAAUGGCAUCAAAGGAGAAAAUUGGUCACAAAAAGAAUCUCUGUUAAUGGGAAACGUCACUCCUAAAAUGCCUUUGGAUUAAAAGUGAUCUUUUUGAUUAUUGGUAGUUCUGAGCAAUAAGUGUUCUUAUUUCUGGUACUGAACAUUGUACACAAAAUUUGAAUAUACUUCUUUCAUUUCUUUCCAACUAAAAACUAUUGAUAGCCUAAGUACUAUUAUUUUAUCUAAUAACAUCUUCCCUUCCCUGGUUCUCUUCAGUGGCAAGUUGGAGGGUGAAAGAGACUGAAAGGAUGAUUGCUAUAUGCACUGAACUCAGGAAGGUGGAUUCUAGCUAGCUUUAUGCUUAUAAAUAUCCUCUAGAUGAUACUAGUUUGGCUUUUGUUUUCCUUAAUUUUGUUUGGUUUCACAUUGCAGCUCGGAGCAACAGUUGAAGAAGGACCAGAUUAUUGUGUGAUCACUCCACCAGAGAAAUUAAAUGUGACAGCAAUUGAUACUUAUGAUGAUCACCGAAUGGCCAUGGCAUUCUCUCUUGCUGCCUGCGCAGAUGUUCCAGUUACCAUCAAGGAUCCUGGUUGUACACAGAAAACCUUCCCUGACUACUUUGAAGUUCUCGAGAGGGUUACAAAGCAUUGAAUGGCUCUUCUACUUUGUUAUACUAGAGAGGAAGAAGAGGAUGAGGGAUAGGUUCAUGCCACUUUCUUUAAAACCAGACUGAAAGUAGUUGAACCUUGUAUUUGAAGUCAGCUUGUAAUCUUUGAUAGUUUCAUGUCGGCAAGUUGAGUUUGUUAUCAGUUUCUUCCCCGACUUUAACUUGUUUUCUACUUAUUGUGAGUUAUGACUUGGUGCUUGAUCCUUGUCAUGAAGACUGUAAUACAUAAUUGAGGAUUGAUUCUUUUUGCAAUGCCUAUUCAAUUAAUAUUUAAACGGUUCUCACUUUUGCUGUUUCCUUUCUUGUUAUUCUUUGGAAAAUGGAAGGGAAAGUGGGUAAGGGAGCCUGCAACUUAAAUUUGUUCUUCCAUUUGUAUGAAAACAGAAAUUUCAAUUGAAACAUUGUUGUGCAAACUAGGAAAAGAAACAAGGUGGGAUCUAUGGAUCGGCAGUGGCAGUUUAGAUUGCAUCAAUAAUGAGCGGAAGACGCCGACUCCAGAGGCUAUUAGUAAUGUUAUAUUUUUUAUCGAGAUAACUGUAAUGUAUGGAUCAUGGGAUAUGCAUAUUCCAUAAAUUAUUUAAAUAAAAUAUGCAAUUCUCACAAAACCAUAGUAUUAAGUGGUCCAAGUCCAGCUUACAUUAACUGGCAAGGCAUGGAACAUGUUGCAUUGUUGCCGCUUUGCCAGCCAUAAAGAAAAGAUAACCGAGGACGUUUUUCUCGACUUCCUUUCCACCAGUUCCUCACAAGGGGUGGGUGACAAGCAGCUUCGAAAUUUAAUUUUAGAAUUUUUUUUUCUCACCAUUAAUUUAUUGCUCAUCUUGCUGAGUAACCAAGGUUCCACAAUCAAGACACCAUACCAUAGUCCAUCUUGUAAAGUAAAAAAAUAAAAAAUAAAAAAGGUAAAGAUAAUCAACAAUGAAAAGUUUUUGUACCUAAGCAAAAUCAGGAUUUUGUAUUAGAAUGUGAAUUAUAAAGCAGGCUGUUUAAAGUAAUUUCUUGACUUUCAGCCAAGAGUAUGAAGAAAUCUGGGGUUUUGGUUGUUUCAAUUAGAAAGAAAAUCCUUGGAUGAAGAUGAAGAUGAUACGUGAGGGGCAUUGUAUAGGGAGAUUGGGGUCAGAUUUUGGUGUAAUUCUUUGUUUUUGAGUCACAAAAAGAGUUUUCAAAUGAAGUAAAUUACACAAAAAGAGCCUUUGUGCAUUAUGUUGAUUGCUAUCUACAAUCCAAAUGAUGAUAGCUUAGCUUAACAAAAAUUGCAGUCUAAGAUAUCUGAAAGAAAAUUUCAUGGAAAGUUUGUUGCUUUUGCCUUUCAUUUCAAGCGUGUUUGCACUGCCUGCGCUCACUAAUUCUGACUCUUUUUUUUUUCUUUUUCUUAUUAGAUUCAGACAGUAUCCUAUGCCUUGCAUAUGAAAAUUCACAAUCUGACUUGUUCAGCGAUAUAAUAUAAAACUAUCAAGAGGCUAGUAGAUUUGUAGUGGCACCAUUGUCUAGUCUAUAAAGUACCAUACAGUUGGAGUAAAAAAAUUUUUGGUGACAAUUUAGUUAAUUAGUGCAGAUGCCAGGGAAUAACUGAGACCUGAAUUAACAUAAAAAAAAAUUAUUAAAAAAAAAAAAAAAAAACUCUGCAUCAGGGUAAUGCUUGCAAAAGAAUUCCCAUUUUCAGUUUUUAAUUCAAUAUUUAGGUUGAUAGGUUUAGAGCCUAUGUUUAAUGAAUAUUUUUAACAUUAUUAUAAAUAAUUAUAAUUUCAUUUAAUACAUUAAAUUAAUGAAUAAAAUUCUUAAUUAUUAUAAUUAAUAUAAUAAUGUUAUAAAUAAUAUAUUAAUUUUUUUAGUAAGCUGUAAUUAGCUUCAAAAUCCUCAUCCACACCAAUACCAUCAACAACAAAAUCCCAAACUGAAUAAGGCUCUUCUGACUAAGGGUUUCAGACGUCAAUUAUCCUUAAAAACAGGGGACGCCCCAAUUUCGAAGGGCUCUCACAGCCGAUCAAAUUCUAACCUCACAGAUAAAAAUUAGACAAAUGCUGAUUUCAUAUUAGCAGCACUUUUUUCUCUGAAACAGGAACAAGAAAAUCUUAACCUCGCCUAUUUUUAACCAAGUCAAUAGAAGAAUCAACCCACUUCAUCAAAUACUGUUGUUUGACUCUUCUUGCUCUCCCAAAAUUCUUCUGUUUCUCUCUCUUCUCCCCAGUGAAGUUUCACACUUUUUAAAGCAAAAAUCAAAUCUUUGAUGCCUCAUCUUUCUUUCUAGAGCCAUUGAAAGAGCUUUCAAGAAACCGGAAGAUUCCCCUUUUCAUCACCGUAAUGAAUAAGAGCCCCUGAAAAACCCAACGAUAAAUAAAAUCAAUUUUCGCCGGUCCUUCACCGUCAUCACCGCCGCCAAAGCGGAGUUAUCCACAAAUCACAAAUACCCAUUUCUCCAAAUCCUAACAAACUCAGAUUUUGAGUCGUCCAAUAACCUCAAAAUUUUCAAAACAAAUGUCUCAUCUUGACGACAUUCCAUCAACACCAGGGAAAUUCAAGAUGGAAAAAUCACCCUACGUUCACAAUAGACUAAGGUGGCACUUUUCUCUUGCAAAGCUCACAUUUUGGUCAUUUAUCUUCUUGGGCCUGAUUGUGGUCUUCUUCUUUCGAUCUCCAUCCUCCAAUCCUCUUCUGCAAGAUCCAUCUCGCCGCUCUCUCCGUACGUACAACUGGGGUGGACCCGCUUGGGAGAAACAGGUCCGUUCCUCUGCACGUAUCCGUUCCCGCAACGGCUUCUCCGUUUUGGUUACUGGAGCUGCCGGUUUCGUCGGUACCCACGUGUCGGCUGCUUUGAAAAGGCGUGGAGAUGGAGUUCUUGGACUUGAUAAUUUCAAUGACUAUUAUGACCCUUCAUUAAAAAGAGCUCGGCAAGCGCUUCUGGAACGAAGUGGGGUUUUCAUUGUGGAAGGAGAUAUCAAUGAUUCAGUUCUUUUAAGGAAACUUUUCGAGGUUGUUGCAUUUACCCACGUGAUGCAUUUGGCUGCUCAAGCUGGGGUCAGGUAUGCUAUGGAAAAUCCUAGCUCUUAUGUGCAUAGCAAUAUUGCUGGUCUUGUUAGUUUACUUGAAGUUUGUAAGUCAGCUAAUCCACAACCUGCAAUUGUGUGGGCUUCUUCGAGUUCUGUUUACGGGCUUAAUACUAAAGUUCCAUUCUCGGAGAGAGAUAGGACUGAUCAGCCUGCUAGUUUAUAUGCUGCUACUAAGAAAGCUGGUGAAGAGAUUGCACAUACUUUUAAUCAUAUAUAUGGACUUUCUUUGACUGGUUUGAGGUUUUUCACGGUUUAUGGCCCGUGGGGAAGGCCGGAUAUGGCAUAUUUCUUUUUCACCAGGGAUAUUUUGAAGGGGAAGUCCAUACCAAUAUUUGAGGCAGCUAAUCAUGGCACGGUGGCUAGGGAUUUUACCUACGUUGAUGAUAUUGUGAAAGGGUGUUUGGCAGCAUUGGAUACUGCCGAGAAGAGUACUGGUAGUGGAGGGAAGAAGAAGGGUCCGGCUCAAUUGAGGGUAUAUAAUUUGGGGAAUACUUCACCUGUGCCAGUUUCAGAUCUUGUGAGUAUCUUGGAGAAGCUUUUGAAGGUUAAUGCAAAGAGGAAUAUUAUGAAGUUGCCAAGAAAUGGGGAUGUUCAGUUUACUCAUGCCAAUAUUAGCUUGGCUCAGAGGGAGCUUGGAUAUAAGCCCUCAACUGAUUUGCAGACUGGGUUAAAGAAGUUUGUCAGGUGGUAUGUCAGUUACUAUUCUGGAGGGAAGAAGGCUGCUGGAUAAUUCAUUCUUUGUAUUGUGGUAGGAUCCUCCGAAUUCUUGUUCAUUAUCAUUUUUACCAUUGUUUUUAACAUUUCUCUGUUUGUUGCCUGAUUAUCGUUAUUUCAUAUAUCUUUAAUGAUUAUAAGGAGGUAUAUCAUAUCCUACUUUGAAGAAGUUUUGUGAUCAGUGGACAUUGUUUGCUGGGCAGGCACAUGCUGUGUCAAAAGAACACCGGAACAAUCUUUUUUUUUUUUAAUUUUUCCUUUUUCUGUCCCAUGGAAUGUAAUUGUUGUAGUUUUGGUAUUGUAGAAUUCAUGACUGAUAGAGCAUAUGCUGAUUGAUAGACAUGUAUCAUUCCUAUGCAAUUCCAAUAAAAUAGCACAGAUAAUAUGUUCUUUCCUUUGUGGAGAAAUUGGGUCGCAUUUUGAAAAUUGAUUUUUCUUUUAAUAUUUGCCGAAUCCAACCACCCCCCCCCCCCCCAAAAAAAAAAAAAAGAAAAAAAAAAGAAAAAGAUGCUUGGUGUAUUGAAUAUAAUUUCCCUCAUAAAUUUAUUGUACUUAUGUAAAGAUAAUGUGCUGAUGCUGAUGUCUUGCCGUGCUCUUUUUCCCUUUUAGAUAAAUAAGUUUGCUUGACUUUGACACCUAAAAGCCAAUGGUCCACUUUUAUUUCCUUUCAUUUUGAGUUAAUGCUAGAUAUUUGCUCUUUUAUUGAGGUACUAUGCAUUUUUGUUCACUAGCAUAGAGGAAUUGCUCCUUUCAAUUUUAUGAUCUUGAUAUUAAUGAAUAUUAUAUGGUUCCUGAAAUAUGUUUAUAUGAAUCACUGUUUAAGAAUUGACAAAACAUUACUAUUUCGGGUUUGAAUAAAUUGUCUGUGGCCUGUUGAACUUUAGGAAUGGCUAUUAUGUUAUUACUCUUUAUCAAGUGCUAUCCAAUGUGGUCCAUGAUACUAGAAUCAUUCAGUUUAACAAUUAGUGGAAUACUAGGCAAUCUAAGACGAAUUUUAUUCCUAAUGAACUGGUCCUUGUACAACUAAAAGAUCAUUGUCAAUAGAAGCAUCUGCUUUAAAUUUAUCUUUUGAUGUAAUUUGCUUUAGCUUUGACAUUGUCAUUCAUAUACUUAUAUUUCAUCAUUGAAAGUGUUGUCUUUAUAAGUCUUCAGGGACUGAGAACCUCAUGUCAUAUGAUGUGAACAAAAUUUAUGAAGCCAAAAUAACGUGGAUUAGUGGAAUACUAGGCAAUCUAAGAUGAAUUUUAUUCCUUAAUGAACUGGUCCUUGCACAACUAAAAGAUCAUUGUCAAUACAAGCAUCUGCUUUAAAGUCAUAUUUUGAUGUAAUUUACUUCAGCUUUGACAUUGUCAUUUAUAUACUUAUAUACUUAUAUUUUGUCAUUGAAAGUGGUGUCUUUAUAAGUCUUCAGGGACUGAGAACCUCAUGUCAUAUGAUGCAAACAUAAUUUAUGUGGCCUGGUGGAUUGGUGGAAUAUUAGGCAAUCUAAGACUAAUUUUAUUCUUUAAUGAAGUGGUCCUUGUACAAGUAAAAGAUCAUUGUCAAUAGAAGCAUCUGCUUUAAAUUUAUCUUUUGAUGUAAUUUACUUUAGCUUUGACAUUGUCAUUUAUAUACUUAUAUUUCAUCAUUGAAAGUGUUUGUCUUUAUAAGUCUUCAGGGACUGAGAACCUCAUGUCAUAUGAUGUGAACAUAAUUUAUGUAGCCAAAAUAACGUGGAUUAGUGGAAUACUAGGCAAUCUAAGACGAAUUUUAUUCCUAAUGAACUGGUCCUUGUACAAGUAAAAGAUCAUUGUCAAUAGAAGCAUCUGCUUUAAAUUUAUCUUUUGAUGUAAUUUACUUUAGCUUUGACAUUGUCAUCUAUAUACUUAUAUUUCAUCAUUGAAAAUGUUGUCUUUAUAAGUCUUCAGGGACUAAGAACCUCAUGUCAUAUGAUGUGAACAAAAUUUAUGAAGCCAAAAUAACGUGGAUUAGUGGAAUACUAGGCAAUCUAAGAUGAAUUUUAUUCCUUAAUGAACUGGUCCUUGCACAACUAAAAGAUCAUUGUCAAUAGAAGCAUCUGCUUUAAAGUCAUAUUUUGAUGUAAUUUACUUCAGCUUUGACAUUGUCAUUUAUAUACUUAUAUACUUAUAUUUCAUCAUUGAAAGUGGUGACUUUAUAAGUCUUCAGGGACUGAGAACCUCAUGUCAUAUGAUGCGAACAUAAUUUAUGUAGCCAAAAUAACGUGGAUUGGUGGAAUGCUAGGCAAUCUAAGACGAAUUUUAUUCCUUAAGGAACUGGUCCUUGUACAAGUAAAAGAUCGUUGUCAAUAGAAGCAUCUGCUUUAAUGUCAUCUUUUGAUGUAAUUUACUUUGGCUUUGACAUUGUCAUUUAUGUAUUUAUAUUUCGUCAUUGAAAGUGGUGUCUUUGUAAGUCUUCAAGGAUUGAGAACCUCAUGUCAUAUGAUGUGAACAUAAUUUAUGUAGCCAAAAUAAACGUGGAUUGUUUAUUAAAGGAAGAUAUAAAAUACAGGGUCCAACACAGCUAAAAUAACUAGUUGUUAUUCAUUUAUUAUUAUCUAGGAGCUUUUAGUGCAUCUUGUGGGUUUGGUUUUGACUUGCCACAGUUGAUUUGGUCUACUUUCGAAUGUUUCUAGAGUUACAGUGCACUUGGAGUUUAUUAAUGGUUCUUUCAUUGACAAUGACCUGAAGGAGAUAAACUAGAGGUUCAUGGAGAAUGAUUUUGACUUUGAAGAUCUUUUGGCAGCAUAUGGGAUUAUCCUCUACGGUAGUUAUUAAAGUAGGCAACUGUUUCUUCUGUUUGCUAGCAAUUAUUUUGGAUUUGCUCUGUCUUCAUAUCCACCAAUUAAACCGUCUCUCUUGUGAAUUUUGUUAUGGCCAGAAUUUGUGGAAAACGCAAGUUUAUAUAGGGAGAAGUCCGUUUAAUUCCAGGCAGCAAUUGUUGGUCUAAAAAUUUUUGCUUUUGUUGUAUCCUCGUGAGGCUUGUGCAGUUGAAAAGAGAUUAUUCUCAAAAGUCUAUUCCACUUUCACCAUUCUUUUCACUAUCCAGUAUUCACAUCAGAUGGAACGAAUCUUAGAUCUUUAUAAGGCACGGGGCUAGGAUGACAAAUAUACCUAUACCCUUAAAAGAGUUUUCAUUUGGUCUUAUAAAAUCGAAUUGUUUUUUUAAUUGAGUUUCGGAUCAAAAUCGAUUUUUUAAAGCUGGAGUCAGAUCUGAAUUAGAUUUUAGGUAAAUCUUUUCCGAGUCCAAUAUAUAUGCACAUAUAUAUAUAUAUAUUAUUUUUAUUAUUUAUUUAAUUUUAUAUUUAUAUAUUAUAUUAAUAAAAUUAGUAUUUAAUAGUUUAAUUUAAGAUAUUAAUUUAAUAAAAUAUUAUAUUUAUAUAUUAAAAAUAAUAUUUUAUAUAUUAAAUUAAUUUCAAACUGGAUUUAUUAUGAUUUUUUAUGUAUUAGAUUGAGUAUGAAAAAAAUAUUUUGAUAUCUGAUCAAAUUAAAAUCAAAUAUAUAUUUUAUGAAAUUAGAUCAAAAUAAAAAUUUAUUUCAAUCCGAUUCAUUAUUAUCGUUAAUUCGAUUCAUUAUUAUCGUUAGUUGUGACUGACGAAAUAAUAAAGCUAAAAAAAAGAAAGAUUGUAGGAAAUAGGAUACCAAGGAUGCAUACUGUAGGAUUUCUGUACCUGUCAAAAUUUUCAUGUAAUCCCGAAAUGCUCAACAGUUUUUCUAGGCAAAACCUGUUAAUGACCUCUUAUUAAUCGCUUUUAACCCUUCAUUGUGGCCCUUUGCCAAAUGCAAAACAAAGUCAAAAGGUCUGAUCAUGUCAGGGUGGCAAGAAAUAUUCGCUUGGCAACAUCUGCUGAACCAAACCACACUACCAUUGUAAAUUUGUACUCCACAUUGUUUGCUGAAAUUAAGAAGGAAAUUUGCAAAUUUUUACAUCAAAUCAUACAGAUUCCAGCUAUGUUUCCACAGUUCGACCAAGAAAACAGAAACCGAAAUAGAGAAGUAUAAGAGUGUACAUCAAGGAAUUAAGCUUGUAAUAUAGUCCUUUAUAAUCCAGUAAAGAAUCAGUCGCAUUUCGCACGAUCCUUGCCGUCUCUGUAAGCUCGCUCUGCUAAUGUAUUCAAGGAAUAUCAGAUUCACCAAAAAGUGGGAAAAUCAUACCCACUAAGCGAACGAUGGUCGGGUGCCCACCCAAAGUGGAUAACUUGCGUGACACAAUGCGGUAGUUUCCCUACCGCUCCCCUCCAUCAAUGUAUCAUAAGAUGUAUUAGCUAUGCAAAACCAAAUGAAAUUACUCAAAAGUCAUAUUUUGUUCUUCCACUCUUCAAGAUGAGGCACAACAUAUCUGAAAUGUCAGCAGAAGAACUGAAAAAGUUCCAAGCCUCAAGCAUUAGGCGUUUCCUUGAUCCUUUAAAAUGAACAACCUGUAUCCAGUUAAAUGAAAAUACAAUAAAUUCAUACGUGAAACAACUUCAGCAAAAAUAUACUCGAAUUUCAGGCUCACCUAGCAACCAAAAUAAUCAUGAAAGGCUUAAAUACCUUAACAUCCAGAGGCAUGCCAUGAAACUGGCCAGCACCCUCUGGUGGUGUCCAAUUAUAUGUAGCACAUGGUAAAAAUAGCACCGAUGCACCACCAAUCUCUUUUAUAAAAGCCUGUGCUUUACUAAAUCUUUUUCCAUUAAAAGAGGGAUGGGAUUUUACAACCCAGGCAAGAGCAAACUGAUCACCAAGCAUUCGGGAAGCAUUCAUGUAUCUGGAACUAUAGACUUCCAAUACUUUUUGUAGAAAAAUUUUUGCCCUGCAUGCAGGUACAUAUAUAUUCAUCUUCUUCAGUGAAAAUUUUGAUAGUAUGUUGUCAAAAUAUUAUGAGGAAAGAAAAGAAAUUGUUUACUCUGAACUCACUACAAAUCAUAUCCUUCAUUGGAAGGAGAAAUUCUGAGUUAAAUACCUCCCACACCACCUUCAGCCCAGCUGGCCCAUGAAGGCUUAGGUAUAGAAGUCAACAAAACCAGAAGACUGAAAGUGGAAUAAAAAGAAGGGUCUCAACCUUAAAAUACCAUCACGUGUACCCCUCACAGCAAUAAAUCCAGAAUUCAGCGGCUGCUCUUUGUUGUUCCUGAAGGUGAGGGCCAAAUGAAAGUUUUGGUGCAUUUCAAAUAUCUGUCCUAGGUCAUCAAUUACAGCAAUAUCUGAGUCUGUAAAGAUGAAAUGAGUUAUACGCCCCAGCUCCUGAGAUAGCUUCUCAAGCCUGAUUUCCAGAAAGGUCUACAUAGAAAAAUGGCAGUUUUGCAGAUAAAUUAGGAUAACGUUUUUCAUAAUUAAUCAUGAUCAGAUGGUCUUGGACUUCUAUGAUUGUCAUGACUUUAGUUUAUCUUGAUAGCUUCAAUGACUUCUUUUAUGGUUAAAAAAAAAAAAAAGACAGGUUUUACAAAUUGCUCUCCCCAUCCAAUAAGGAGGAGAAAGAGUAUAAUAAUGUUAGUCAAAAAAGAAAAAAGACAGGUUAGGAGUGGGGGAAAUCAUCUUUAUUUAAAAAGAAAAAAAAGAGGGGAAACAUUAAAAGAUAAAGCAGAUACAAGAAAGGCUAUGAAGCUUUUUCGGGCUUCAGAAAAUCAAAAAAGAAAACUAAAUAUAUGGUUAAUGGAACAUACUAUAAAUGAACAGCAAAACUUUUCUACCUAUAUAACAAUGCGAUAUGCUCUUACAAUGUAAGACCUGAUUCUUUGAAGCAUCAAUUUGUCUCGGGAAUAUUCACCCUGAAUGGGAUGUACAGUAACUCUGUUUUGGUGCACUGAGAGAUCUGAUUCUGGAUCAGUCAGAAUAAUAAUAUUGCUCUGAGGCAUUCUCACCUGAAAGAUUUUAAUUCAGAACUCCCAUUAAAUAAAAGCUCCAAAGCAAAUGUAGGUUUUAGUUUAAUGAAUGCAAGAUACAAAUUAGAACAAAUCCUGUACAUUACAAUAAUUCCAUAAUACAUAAGAAAGUAAGUUAAAAACAUUAAAUAUGAACUUAUAUAUAACAGAGUUUAGUUCUGAAACUUCAAGCAAAUUAAAAGAUGUUUGUAGUUGACAUUUCCAUCUGAAAGCUAGAUGCAUAAUAUUGCAUGAUCUUUAACCGGAGAGUUACCUGAAUGAAGUUAAUGAAAACAUUCAAAAUGGCCAUUGAUCUCUCUGACUUACUAUAUGAAGCAUUCCCAACAGUAACCAAAUUUGAUGAUCUAUUCACAAGAGUGUCAAGUGAGUUGUUAUAAAUGGUAAAAACAGUGACAAAGGCAAUACCAUCUCCAACACCAGAGACAUGAGAAGGGUUUGAAAAUUGGGUCUUGUUGAGAGCUUUAACUCCUGCAACAUAUCAAAAACAUAAAAACGCAUAGAAUAUCACAUCAAGAAGUUUAGGAGCUGGGGUCUCAAUACAAGUAUUUUCUUUGAUUUUUUUCUUUUUUUAUUCAAUGAGAACAUCCUAUGUGGUAUCACAGAUGUCUAGACCUAACAGACUCCUAAAUUCAUCCACCAGUUAUUCCAGUAUCUAGGAUUUUUGAAAAUGAAUGCAAGUCUAGGUUUUUGGGCCCUUUUACCAAAUUAAUGUCCUAUCAACAAGGAAUUAGAAAGAACCUUGACACUGCAAACGAUUGGGCAAGCCUUCUCCAGCAGCAGGUCCAAGAACCAGGUGAUCAAAUUUCUUGCUAUUUUUCUUGGGGGCAUCUCUAACUGCUGAGUUCUGAUCAUCAAGUUUCUUGGUAUUUUCCUUAGGGGCAUCUCCAACUGUUUGGUUCUGAUGCAAUUCCAGAACUGAAAACAUGCAAAAAAGGGAUCAUUUUAAGGUUUGCAAAUAAUAAACAAAAAAGACAUUACAAAAAUCCACAAGUGAAUAGAUUGGUAGCAAAGAGGAACAACCACCAGAGAACAAAUAAGGAAGAAUGAAAAUAAGUGGAAAACAGAAGAGGAAGCGACGCCAUCCAACACAUGCCUUCAUGCCUAAUCAAUCUUUCCGCUGCUGCAUAAGAGUAGGGAAUUUUUUUUUCAAUGGUGCCAUAAAAAUAGCCUAAAAUGGAUGCAGCAACCAAAAAAAAAUAUAUAUAUAUAUAUAUAUAUAUAUAUAUAUAUAUAUAUGAAAUACGGUUUUUUAAAAUGGGAACCUACUAAAUUUACAACUUCAUUAACAAAAACAUUCGUGAAUCCGAUAUUAAGACAAAUCAUGAUAAAAUGUUCCGAUUAGAGGUAGAUUUUAGAAGUCUCAGAAGUUAAAAGCACAUGGAUUUCAGAUCAGGUUCAAGUAAAUGGAAGCAAAAAAAAAUUCACAACCAUGCCAGGCCAGCCAACAAGUAUAGAAAGUAAACACAAAUGAAAAUUUUAACAACGAGAUGCAGUUGAAGAAGAUGAAGAUCCCAAACCUGGAUUAAAAGCAGGAAAUAAAGCAAUGGGUUUCUUGACGAUGCGAUAAAGAAGAACUUUUAUCUCCUUGCCUAAAUGACACAAGAGAAUCGGAAAUUGUGUACUAAUCAGGAAUUUACGAGAUUCUUACUUCUUGCUUCUUCUAGAAAUUUUUUUAAUCAAGUAUGUUAUUAAUAAAAUGUUGAUUUUUUUAUGUAUUAAACAAAUUAUUUCAAUAAAUAAUUUUUUUUAUACAAGGAAAUUCUUUGAAAAUAGAAAAAUCGCUUACAUGUAUUAUAAUUUGAACUUUAAAAAUACCAAAUAUUGUUUUAAAAAUGAUUAUAUAAAUAAAUUGAAUUAAACUUUAAUUUUAUUUCAACAAAUAAUUUUAAGCGUACCAUAAUUCAUAAAUUGAAUUUAACUAACAAAAAAAUUUUGUUUUCCUAAAAUCCUUUAUCGGUCUACUAAGUGGUAACCGAUCUCUUUAUUAUGUAUUCGGCCCAAAAUUUUCCAAUAAAAUCUUUCCCGUGACGGUGUUGGUCCUGAACGUGACGGGAAAGAUCUCAAUAUUCUUUCAGGACUUCACGGUUCAGGUUCGCCGAAACCAAAUGCCGGUGUUGGUUCACCGAUUUUUACGUUUUUUCAUUUUCAUUUUUUCCCAUUUUUGAUGUGAAUGAAUUGGGUCUGAACUCAUAAAGCUGAGAUAACUGCUGGAUAUCAGCUUGGGAGCUGUGGUACUAUUUGUCUAUUAUAGCCCAACAUGUCAGCAGCCCAAACAAAAAGUUCCGAGAUCCACAUCUGAACAGAACGUUUUGGGCUAAUGGAAUAAUGGAAAAAUAAAUUUCACCCGGUUCCUGAAAAUCUCAUCGGUUGGUAAAGAUAUGGUCGAUUUUAGCUAUGCUAUAAUGUGGCCAAGUGAACAUGUUUCAACAAAAUGAAGUAAUGUAUCUGAUCAAAUUGAAAUGAUAAUAACACAGAUUUAAAACAGAGUACAAAAAUGAUCAUUCGUAAUCCAAUUAACAUUCAAAAAGGUACAGGUCGUCUAUCUGGCCAUGAUUCUAUCUUCUCAAAGUACUUGAUAGGUACAACCCCAUCAAAACCUUCAGUCAAUAUCACCUUGUUGUCUGAAAUGUAUAGUUUCAUUCCCUCUGCAAUCAUUAUUGAUAGAACAAGAGAAGGAAACAUAAACUUAUUAGCCGAGAAAAAAAAAAAAAAAGAGAUUAAUGGUUGGCAGUGAUUUGAAAGAAGAGUGAGAAAGACAUCGUUUGUUGGCUGCCUGAAACUUGAAAGAAGUAUGCAUGCUUACCUUCCAGAGCUUUUUUGACAUUAAGAAAGAUCAAAAUGUUAACAUCUCGUCUCAUACCUGAAGAGUAGUAAAGCACAGAUUAUCAGUAGCUAUCCAACUUCACUAGGGCUCCAUCUAUGUCUAUCACUACAACUACCAAACAGUGCUCGGCAUUUGCUAAAUCCAAUUACAAAAUUGGAACCUUAGUAAUCCUUUAAUAGUCUUUAGCAUUAAUCCUCGGGUGAAAUGUAGAUAAUAGUCAUAAUAUGACCCAACCAGUUUGUCAGGUAUACCAAGCUGGGAUAUCAAAAACAAAGAGCAAAAAGAAAGGGCCACAAAUUUAGCUGCUAAGACCAUAUGUCGAAGUCCAAGAUAAUCCCAUCCGACCAGUUCAAGAAAAAUAAAAAGGAAAAGGAAAAAAUAUGACACGUCAUUACUAUCAUCUUGUAAAGAGAUUUUUGCUGAUAUCUCACCACUAAUUACUUCACCAUCUGCUGGCAAGCCACUUGAGAAGUGUACAUGCAAUCUUUUCAUGCGCUUCAAACCAGACUCCAGAAUUGAUUCCAAAUUCCUCUUAUAGGUUCCAUGUACACAUACUGUCAUCUCAGGGAAAAUAAAGACGAUUAAGCAAAAUAAAAGACGUAAAACAAGAGUAUCAAUCUGACAGACAUAAUAUUGACAUCAUAUUCUUAGUUUCUUACCUUGCACUUCAUCAGCUGCAAGGAUUUGUUUUAAUAAGCUUUCGGACUCAACUGUCUGCCAAUAGCACAUAACAGACCUUUUAGACAGAGCAGCCAAACGGUAAUUUAUAUGCUAAAACCAACAGGGAAGCAUAAAAUAAGAGGAAAAAGAUUCUGAAAAAGCACAAAGGAAUUGGUUUUUUAAAGAAGGAUUCAUCACCGUUACUGUGUGGCCUUGGUUUGCACGUAUCAAAAGCAUCCCAUUUUCCUCCAGUAGGCUAAAUCGUUGCUUAUUAUCCUUUCUGACAGCCUAGAAUCAGGAAAUAAUCAAUCACAAAAAAGAAUUAUUAGUAGCAUAUCAAUUUAGAAAGAAACCUCAUGAUCAUGAAGCAAGACCAUGAACUUUUUUCCUUUUAAUUCCAGUAACAUAUUUCGGAGACUAAGAAUGUAAAUUACUACCGGUGACAUCUCAAAGGUUUCUUUAUAAAAAGAAAAGUACCCAAAGAAGCCAUUUUCACAACAAAAAUUUCAUACUGCAAUGAUAGAAAUGGGAAAUUUUCAAUCAAACUCUAGCAUCAGCUUUUUUCACAAUGUAUUCAGACUUGAAAAUAAGAAAAAAAAAAAAAGAAUAGACUCUCAACAGUAAACGGAGAGAAGAAUUAGUCCACAGAAACAACCUCCUUGAUAUCAUCAACUGUGUGUGACCUUAAAGGAAUAUUGGCAAAUGUUUUCAAAUUCAGCUUCAGUAAAUCUUCAACUUUGACAUAACCAUCACUUCUCAUAUUCAAAUUCAGUUCAGUUGCCAUAUGUCGCAGAGUUCGUGUCCUAAAGAUAAUAAAACAAAACAAAAUACUAAUCAAUAAAAUCACUUUGGUCGAAUAUAACCAUGGUCGUAAGCAAAAGAAAUGGAUAAAAAAAUUUGACAAAAUGCUAAUCUGCAAUUUCGCUUACAAGAGUCUACCAAGAGCAUCAAUUUUGUCCUUGCCGCCGCUACCGCCACCACGGCCUCUGGAUCUUUCUCGAUCAUAUUUCAUCUCUCGGCCUCUUCCUCUGCCUCCACUGCCAAACCCCCCCCCCCCCCCCCCCAAAAAAAAAAAAGAGCAAAAUUGUUACGACACGGUUAAAUCGAUUUUGGCUACGAAUUGCGCCCAAAUGUUUAAAAUACCUUGUAUUCGAAUGGGCAAAACAUGAGAAAGACGACGACGUCGUGUUAUUAAGGUUUGUGUUCUCCAUUAAAAUUAGGGCACGAAACCUGGAAAGCUGAGAGCGUACAGUUGGAUGACGAACAACGCAAUAGCGUAAAAUUCGAAUACUGCCGUUGCUCAGGAGAGCCCACAUACGGGUGGGAUUGAUGCUAUGGGAACUCUACUUUACAGAAGACGAUGACGAUGGCGUAAGGUAAUAAUGAUACGAUGACGAUGUGGGCUUUUACGUUGUUUUAUACGAACAAUACGAUAGGUCCCAACCUAUCGUCUGUAGAAAUUGGUUUCAUUUGGGCAAGCUGGGCUAUAAAAAUCUCUUGAUCAAAGGGCUUUCAAUCAGAGAUCUGGGCUUCUAAAAGGAAUCGACAAGGAUUACCACGUCCCAAACUUCCAAAUUGUGCACAAGGAAACGAUCCAGUUAAUCAUUUGCCGAGAUAACAUGUUUUAACACAUCAAAAACCAACAUUUCAAUCAACAUACUUAUCCCUUGCACCCAAUAUAUAUAUAUAUGGAGUUGUGAUCUCCAAACGUGCGCAGAAUUAUCUACAAGGUAAUCUUUUCUGGCCUUUCCUUUCAGCAGAGAACUCUGUCAGCUCAAUUUGACAAAAUUCUAAACCAACGAGAACCAAAGAAAAUAAAUCCAAGUAACAACCACUAAAAUAGUACGAUUCAACAUCAAAAUAUUUUAAAUGAAAAGGAUCAAUUCUUCGGAUACACGUAAACCAAACUUAAACUAAGACUUCGCCUCCUAAGUAUCUCACUUUCAAACCAUAAGCGAACAAGUUCUUUAAAACCAUUAAUAGAUUGUAAUACAAAAAGGUUUAGUCCUGCAUAUUAAGAAAAUUUUCAAUCAAGGCACAGGAAGUUGGUGUAAAAGGUGCCUUCUCUAAGCCACAAGAGUGCUGGCGGUGGUAGACUCACUGCAUAAAGAAAAGUGAAGUAUGUUAAGAUUUGCGAUUUACAACCAAUCUCGAGACCAGAUAGUAGAGGCCAUAACCACCAUAGACAACUAUCAUGAGGGUUGAGGACAUUUUCUUAAAGAGCAUGCCUCUGUCCAUAAGAUAUACUAUGCAUGUCAAGAACAUCAAAGGGGGCAGGGAAAGAAUUACUCACUAUUUCCACACAGGUGGCAGCUUCUUUGUCUUUUUGUAAUAGCGAGCAAGUCGGUGGAUCCUGCUCUCAACCAAGAUCAACCUAAACUUGGAAUCCUUGUCCUUCCGGUUCCUUUCAAGAUGCUUUCUGAUGGCAACGGCUUUCUUAAUCAGGUGGUACAGAUCCUCAGGAAUUUCGGGAGCAAGACCUGACAAGAACAAAAGGAUGAGUCGAAUGUUCUGUUCAAACAUGAAGGAAAAUCCACCAGAAGACAAUGUUAAUAAAGAUGUACCAUGGGCUUUAAGUAUCCUCAAAAUCUUGCUGCCUGUAACACUCUUCACCUGAGCAAUCCCAUGGGAAUCACGAAGAAUAACACCAAUUUGAGAGGGGGUCAAACCCUUCUUUGCAAACUUGCAAAUGUUCUCCUCAACCUAAAACAUGAAAUCAAGAUUAAUGAAUAAUGCCAAAAAGAGUAAAAACUUCUUUUAAGGAGAGAGCAAACCAAAGAAGUGGUGAGUAUUUCAAUGCUGCAUUGAGGGAUGUAAAACCAGAAACAAUUGUCUCUAGAACAUUCACGACAAAACAUAAGAAUUAGUUUGUGGAAGAUUAAAUUAACUCUUAUUAAUACACCAUCAUUCAGCACUCAAGUUUCUGGCUACACUUGUGAGAUACAUAAACCAGAAUAUCUUCCAGAAGAAGAUAGUUAACCAAAGAUUGAAACAACUUGAGAUUUAUGACAAAAAGAAAGACCGGUGGUCGGCCAAACUACCAACAAAAACGAAUCAAAGACCAUUAGGAUUCCACAUUUCAGAAAAGUGAAAAAAACAAAUAUUGAAACAUAACUAAAUGCACUAUCAAACUUAAAUAUUAAUCAUUGUGUAAUUGAUUCCACAGACUUCAAUUUUCUCUAUAGCUUGUUUAAACACUUAAACCAUGACAAAUUUAAUUUCAUGAAGCAAUCAGCUUAAAACACUAAAGAUUGAAUUUAUAGACUUUAACCAGAGCAUUACCAUUGUAUUGUAAUCAAUGAGAAUAACAACUAUUUCCGGUACAAAUUACUGAAAAUUCAAUUUAUCAAACAUCCGGUUCUUCUCUGCCACUAUUCUAAUAAAAAAGGUCUUGACUCUUGAAGAUUCAAUAUAUUUAAUAAUGGAUAAAAGAGACUAACUCCACUAAAAAUAAUGAAACAAAAUUUGGCUCAUAAAAAUUAAAAAAAAAAAAAAAGUUGAAUUUCAUUUCUCAAAGUAGAAAACAAUAAAAAUAUCAUUCAUUUUCUAACCAAAGCAAAUAAAUUAAGAGAAUGAUUAAAAUAAGUGACUCACAUCUUGAGAAGAGAUCUUCAACCAACUAGGUGGAGUCCUCUUGUAGGGCAGAGCAGAUGCGGAAAUACCCUUACUGCACAGAAAUUCGAAUCAAUCAUGAAGAAGCUACAAUCACUGAGAUAAUCGUAGGAUUGUUUUGAGAGGAUAAAGAAUCAAGCGAGAGAGAAAACACAAACCCUCGGCUGUGCAUACGACCCAUGGCGGCAGAGUUUCGCGCUUGGCUGCUUUGGCUGCUUCUCACUCGACCUCUGCUUCUGGCUUGCUAGUUCUGAGCAAAGAAACCCUAGAAUAGAAAUGGAAGCUCGGGCUAGGGCUUUUUUGCUUUCGGUCUUUUGCUAGUGAUUUAUUGGGCCAUGUUACCCGUUGGAGGUUUAAUUUUUAAGAAGUGGAUUUCCUACAUAUCGGGCCACACACCAUUAAGUUGUUGUCUUAUGUGACCCAAAAGCCCAACGAUAACUUUUAUUGGAAAAUUUUGGGCCGAAUACAUAAUAAGAGAUCGGUUACCACUUGGUAGACCGAUAAAGGAUUUUAGGAAAACAAAAUUUUUUUGUUAGUUAAAUUCAAUUUAUGAAUUAUGGUACGCUUAAAAUUACUUGUUGAAAUAAAAUUAGAGUUUAAUUCAAUUUAUUUAUAUAAUCAUUUUUAAAACAAUAUUUGGUAUUUUUAAAGUUCAAAUUAUAAUACAUGUAAGCUAUUUUUCUAUUUUCAAAGAAUUUCCUUGUAUAAAAAAAAUUAUUUAUUGAAAUAAUUUGUUUAAUACAUAAAAAAAUCAACAUUUUAUUAAUAACAUACUUGAUUAAAAAAAUUUCUAGAAGAAGCAAGAAGUAAGAAUCUCGUAAAUUCCUGAUUAGUACACAAUUUCCGAUUCUCUUGUGUCAUUUAGGCAAGGAGAUAAAAACCCACCUCUUCUGAUACCAAUUCCAAACCACAAGUAGUUCUUUAAAAGCACAAAAAGUUUAGUCCUGCAUAUCGAGGAGAAUGUCAAUUGAAGCGAGCGAGGCCUUCAUUUUUCUCUCAAGCUAUCUUCUUUUUUUACUACUAAAUCAUGAAAAACUUAAUUUCAUGAAGCGAUUUGUUUAAAAUGUAUACAACACUACACGCUGACGAUAGAUUUCAAGCAGAGCAUUGCCAUUGUAUUGCAGUCAAUGAGGAUAACAACUAUUCAUCGUUCUAUUUAUUCAAGCAUCGGGUUCAAUUCACGUAAGGGACUCAAAAGUGUAACUUCACUGCGCAUACACAUUUUUAAAGUGACUCAGAUCUUGAGAAGAGAUCUCCAACCAACUAGGUGGAGUCCGCUUGUAGGGCAAAGCAGAUGCAGAAAUACACUUACUGCAAAUCCAGUAAAAUACAAGUAAGAAGCAGCUGUAAUAGAAUUCACCGGAAUAAUCAUAGGAUUGUUUAGGGAUGAAAAUGAACCAAGUGUGAGAGUAAAUUGAGCCAGAACCCAAUAAUUAUUGUCUUAUGUAGCCCAAAAGGUUUCAUUGACAAAAUGGAUUUCCAGCCUACUCUAUUUCUAAGAGACCUUUACGAGUUACAAUGUUUACUGGUAUGAACUUAUGAUAUUUUUCCUUUAUAUUGCUGCCAUGAAACAAUGGAAUUUGGAAACAUCUUUUUUCUUGCCUGCCAAUUAGAAUAGACUCAAGUAUAAUAAUGGAGAGAAAAAGAGAAAUCUCUAGGUCUGUGUGACCCUAAAAGAUCUUGGUUUAAGUAGACAAAGGAUGGUUAACGUGGGUUGAAAAAGUUAAGAGAGACUUGACUUCCAAUUCCUCUAUUGAUUCAUGCUUUAAACAGUGAGGCUUUGAAGCCAAGGCAUCAAAAGAGGAGAGUGUUGGAUGCGCAAUUAAAAGAUAGACGAUAAAAGCGAGACCUGUCUUGUCUUAUAAUUAUUUGUUUCAACCUAGGUCGUUGUUGCAUUGUUCGAAAAUUACAAGUUUUUUGAUAGUUCCACUUGUCUUCUUCGUGUGUUUUGUUGCCAUUGUUUGUCCAAAGAGAAUCAGAACUCCUGUGCCCUUCAUUAGUUUUCAAUUUUCAUAUGCAGUUGUGCCAUUUUUAUUUCCCUCGUUAUCCCCACGUUAGUUCAAAAUUUGAUGAGCUGAAAAGCUGAAAAUUUGGAGUAAUCAGGAGUAAGGACCGCUUUUCCUGAGGACCAAAUGAGGGCGUCCCGCAAGGAAUGAGACUGUUGCUGAGUUUCUUCAGACAAAAGGCUACGACGUUACGUAGAUUGGAUGCCCCAUAAUUUUAUGCGUCGGUUUUAAAUGAUGAGAAUUGAAAACGCAGAAAGAAAAUGAAAGGCUAUGAUUUUCGACACAUCUGACCAUCCAAGUCACAAAUUCAAUCAUGAUUGACAAAUCCCAUGUCGUCAUUUUUUUUUUCAGAAGUUGUAAUUAUGGCAGCAUAAGUGCCCUAAAACACAAUUAAAACCCAAAUGAAGGAAAAACAAUGGAAUUGAAUACGGCCAAAAAUAUUUUUUGAAUUUCAAUCGAAUAAUGCUAAUUUUAAAUUCCAGUACGAAAUGAGGAAUUUGGAAAAAAAGAAAAAAAGAAAAAUGUUGGUCUUGCUUGACAGUGAGGUGGGCAAGAGGGCAUGGUCACCCCAACCCCAGACUACCGACAAUGUGGAGAAAUGGAGAGCCCCCACAAAAUCCGUCCAAUUUGAUUUUCUCACCAGCGUCCAAUUAAUGGGGUUUCACAGUUUCCCAUGCUUUGAUGAAGGAGACUUGGUCUUAAAGUGGUAAGGUACAACGAAAUAUUAAAGCUCGAUGUUCACAUGAAACCUUAACAAUGAUGGUCCAUUAUCAUUGUCGUCCAACUAAAUCAACAUCAAUCUCCCAUUUACGUUGCUAAAAAAAUAAAUUUGAAAAAGGGAAAUGAUCAAAAGGAAGGGAUGUCAUGGUGUUUAUGUACCCUGUCAUGGACAGAACCGAAGGAAUUGAUUCAGUGAUAGGGUUUAUGCAGUGAAUUGAGCCAUACUUUGAAUUUAUUAUUAAAAAAAAACCAUACUUUGAACUUUGGCAUUGGAGUAAGUACAUAUUUGCAGGGAAUUCAAUCUGGUCAUCCAGCUGUCCUGGUAUGGGCAGCCUGCUUUCAACUUUCCCAGAAUCCCAGUUCAUUUCAUUCCCUUUUUCAACUAAAGUUGGGUAAAGAAAGCACUAUGAUGAUCAUUUUUACGAGAACAAUUUUCAAGGGAAGAGGGAUUAUGUUUAUGUUCUCUUGAAAAUGAUGUUCUCCUAACCUAUCAAAUCCUUCUCACCGUGAAAAAAGUUUCUUACUCUUUCAUCUCUGUUAACAGCUACCAGUUAUCAAUUCCUUUCCUGUUCUCUUGAAAAUGACUAUCACCGAACUUAUAAAAUUCUUUUUAACAAGAAAAAGGUUCCCUACUCUUUCAUCUCUGUUAAUAAAUUUAAAAUUUUUAUAUAUGAUAUAUAUAAAAUAUUAUCUAUAAAUUUAUUAAUUUUAUCAAAGUAAAAAUAUUAAAAAAAAUCAGGAUAUUUUAUAUUUUAAAUUUUUUAACCUUUAAAAAAAAUCAAAAAAUUUUAAAAAUAUCCAAUAAAAAAUUCUUCUUCUAUUUACAUUUACCGCUAACAAUGCUAUCCAAGCUAAUAUUACUAAUCACUCUUAUUUUUACUUGCUCCUUAUGCUGUACCCGUAAAAAUCAGUCUUUUAUUAUGACCUAUUGGAUACUCCAAUGAUCCAUUCAUUCUCAACGUCCCUCAAGAAAAAUUAUUAUUAUUAUUUUUUAAUAUAAAUUUGAGGCACAUAACCCUAAAUCACUUAUUUCUAAAUUAUGGACUACAAUGCAUUUGAAUGUGGUCCUGACCUGAAGAUUUACAAAUGUCCCAGCUUGGCUCUACUCGUCAAGCUACGUGAAUGUUUUCAACAAGCUAACUAAACAAAAACAUAAAAGAAUGUUUUAAACUUUUACUUCAAUAUGUUUAUUAAUGUGUAUUUAAGAAAUUUACAAAGCAGGGCUAUAAGCAUUUAUGUGAUAUGAGAGCUUAGUGUUUAUGUCAUAUGGAGGCCACACCUACAGCAGGACAGGCCCACAGUCACUCAUUUUCAAAUUAUUAUCAUUUCUUUUUCUUUGGGAAAAAAUAAAGAGAAUAAANNNNNNNNNNNNNNNNNNNNNNNNNNNNNNNNNNNNNNNNNNNNNNNNNNNNNNNNNNNNNNNNNNNNNNNNNNNNNNNNNNNNNNNNNNNNNNNNNNNNNNNNNNNNNNNNNNNNNNNNNNNNNNNNNNNNNNNNNNNNNNNNNNNNNNNNNNNNNNNNNNNNNNNNNNNNNNNNNNNNNNNNNNNNNNNNNNNNNNNNNNNNNNNNNNNNNNNNNNNNNNNNNNNNNNNNNNNNNNNNNNNNNNNNNNNNNNNNNNNNNNNNNNNNNNNNNNNNNNNNNNNNNNNNNNNNNNNNNNNNNNNNNNNNNNNNNNNNNNNNNNNNNNNNNNNNNNNNNNNNNNNNNNNNNNNNNNNNNNNNNNNNNNNNNNNNNNNNNNNNNNNNNNNNNNNNNNNNNNNNNNNNNNNNNNNNNNNNNNNNNNNNNNNNNNNNNNNNNNNNNNNNNNNNNNNNNNNNNNNNNNNNNNNNNNNNNNNNNNNNNNNNNNNNNNNNNNNNNNNNNNNNNNNNNNNNNNNNNNNNNNNNNNNNNNNNNNNNNNNNNNNNNNNNNNNNNNNNNNNNNNNNNNNNNNNNNNNNNNNNNNNNNNNNNNNNNNNNNNNNNNNNNNNNNNNNNNNNNNNNNNNNNNNNNNNNNNNNNNNNNNNNNNNNNNNNNNNNNNNNNNNNNNNNNNNNNNNNNNNNNNNNNNNNNNNNNNNNNNNNNNNNNNNNNNNNNNNNNNNNNNNNNNNNNNNNNNNNNNNNNNNNNNNNNNNNNNNNNNNNNNNNNNNNNNNNNNNNNNNNNNNNNNNNNNNNNNNNNNNNNNNNNNNNNNNNNNNNNNNNNNNNNNNNNNNNNNNNNNNNNNNNNNNNNNNNNNNNNNNNNNNNNNNNNNNNNNNNNNNNNNNNNNNNNNNNNNNNNNNNNNNNNNNNNNNNNNNNNNNNNNNNNNNNNNNNNNNNNNNNNNNNNNNNNNNNNNNNNNNNNNNNNNNNNNNNNNNNNNNNNNNNNNNNNNNNNNNNNNNNCCAACCCUUUUGGCUCCCAAACAGGGGGUUUCAAUAUUUUGGGGUACUUCUACUGGAGUGUUUGGCGCAACCCAAGCUUCUUCUCCCUUUUCCUCAACAACAGCUUUUGGUGCCUCAUCAUCUCCAGCUUUUGGAAGUUCCGUGCCUGCUUUUUGGAUCUUCUUCUACUCCCGCUUCUGGCAUUUCAUCUCAUCAUUUGGUGUGUCUAUGUUUUUUCUUUUCUAUUGUCAUGAUUCAGUUCUCCUUUAUUUCAUAUUCUUUCUGUUCUAGUUAAAUAUAUUAAAGAAUAUGAUAGUAAUGCCUUUUUGUCUUUUGGUAUUUUGUGAUGCUUUAUUGCUAGUGUUCUAAUAUCAGAUAUGUGUAUGUCAUUGAGUUGUUAUGCAAAUACAUACAUACAUGCAUAUAUAAAUAUAUUCAUAUUACAAUUAGUUGCACUUUAAUUUCAUGGAGAUGAUAGAAUUUAGUGUUCAUUAGUAAGAGACUUGUUUGUUUGAUUCAUUCUUCAUUAAGCACCUAAACAUGAUCUUGAAUGAGAGCCAUCUUUUUCAUAAGGAGCACUCGUUAUUUCGCAUAUACAUUUAAUUGCUAAUUUAUGGUAAUCUGCUUUUAUUAUUGCAUUUACUUAUGGUCAUUAAUUCUUGGGUAGCUUGGUUCUUUUCCUCAGUUUAAACUGAUGACGUUUUUUUGGGUAGAUCUUCCGUUUUUGGUCAGAAGCCUGCAUUUGGCUUUGGGUCUACACCCACUCAGUCAAGUCCAUUUGGAAGCACAACUCAGCAAUCACAGCCUGCAUUUGGUAGUGGUAUAUUUGGUUCCUCCACACCUUUUGGUUCAACUCAGUCUGCAUUUGGUUCCAGUACCCCAGCUUUCAGUGCCACAAGCACCCCAGCUUUCUGUGCCACAAGCACCCCUGUCUUUGGUGCUACAAGCACCCCCUGCAUUUGGUGCCACGAGCACCCCUUCAUUUGGUGCUACGAUCACUCCUCCCUUUGGUUCAACUGGAAGUCCAGCAUUUGGGAGCACUGGAACUGCAUUUGGCGUUUCUAAUGCCCCAGUCUUUGGAACUGGAGGUGCAUUUGGGCCAUCAAGCACACCCGCUUUUGGGACUGCCAGCACUCCUGCUUUUGGGGCUUCAAGUUCUGUUUUUGGGGGUUCAAGCACUCCUGCUCUUGGAGCAUCUUCCAGUCCUUCAUUCAGCUUUGGGUCUAGCCCAGCUUUUGGCCAAUCAACACAGGCAUUUAGUAGUAGUCCUUUUAGAACAACUUCAUUUGGAGCCCGGGGUUCUCCUCUUGGUGAGUAAUCAAGUCUACAUGAUUAAUUAUAUAAACUUUGAAAUUACUUAUGAAGUUUAGGCACAAAUAUUUAUUUUCGUAGGUCUUCCACAUUUUGAGUACUCACUAUCAUAUAUAUAUAUAUAUAAUUAAAUUCUUUUGAGUUCUCAUGUAGGAACCCAAUCUUCUGUACCGGCAUUUGGAAGCACCAGCUUUAGCCAGUCACUUUUGGGGGUCAACAUGGGGAAAGUAGAGUAGCUCCUUAUACACCUACGACUGAAGCAGAUAGUUCGAGUGGUGCAGAGCCAGCUGCAAAGUUGAAGUCAAUAUCAGCUAUGCCUGUUUACAAAGGUAAAAGUCAUGAGGGGCUGAGAUGGGAGGAUUAUCAGUUAGGAGAUAAAGGUAUGUUUGUACAAUAUUGUACAACCCUGAAAGUUAAUCAUUCUUCUUUUCUGUGUUUGACAUUCCCUACCUUGCUAUAUUAAUUUGAAAUUUCAGUUGGACUGCAGCCAGCUGCUCAGCCUUCUGGAUGGAUUGGCUUUGGUGUGUCAACUGCACCUACAAGUCCUUUUGGUUGUUCUUCAACAUUUGGUCAAACAUUGUCAAAUCCUUUUUCCAGCAAAAGUACCAAUCCAUUUAGUCUAAAACCUCCAUCCUUUGAGAGUACAGGUUGUACAACUUCGACUGCUAUAUCAAAUCCUUUUCGAUGGACAUCAUCAAGCCUUUUUGGCCCAACUUCGUCAUCAACAUCUUCAAUAUUUGGUUCCUUUUGAGUACAAGUUCAUAUCAUAUACAUGCAGGAACCCAAUAUUCUGUACUGGCAUUUGGGAGCACUAGCUUUGGCCAGUCAACUUUUAGGGGUCAACGUGGGGGAAGUAGAGUAGCUCCAUAUACACCUAAAACUGAAGCAGAUAGUUCGAGUGGUACAGAGUCAGCUGAAAAGUUGGAGUCAAUAUUAGCGAUGCCUGUUUACAAAGAUAAAAGUCAUGAGGAGCUGAGAUGGGAGGAUUAUCAGUUAGGAGAUAAAGGUACCUUUGUAAAAUAUUGUACAACCCUGAAAGUUAAUCAUUCUUCUUCUGUGUUUGACAUUCCCUACCUUGCUAUAUUAAUUUGAAAUUCAGGUGGACCACAGCCAGCUGCUCAUCCUUCUGGAGGGAUUGGCUUUGGUGUGUCAACUGCACCUAAAAGUCCUUUUGGUUCUUCUUCAACAUUUGGUCAAACAUCUUCAAAUCCUUUUUCCGGCACAAGUACCAACCCAUUUAGUCUAAAACCUCCAUCCUUUACAGGUUUUACAACCUCGACUGCUAUAUCAAAUCCUUUUCAAUGGACAUCAUCAAGCCUUUUUAUCCUAACUUCGGCAUCAACAUCUUCAAUAUGUGGUUCCUUUUGAGUGCAAGUUCAUAUCAUAUAUAAAUAAUUAAAUUCUUUUGAGUUCUCUUGUAGGAACCCAAUCUUCUGUACUGGCAUUUGGAAGCACUAGCUUUGGCCAGUCACCUUUUGGGGAUCAACAUGGGGGAAGUAGAGUAGCUCCUUAGACACCUACAACUAAAGCAGAUAGUUCGAGUGGUACAGAGUCAGCUGCAAAGUUGGAGUCAAUAUCAGCGAUGCCUGUUUACAAAGAUAAAAGUCAUGAGGAGCUGAGAUGGAAGGAUUAUCAGUUAGGAGAUAAAGGUACCUUUGUAAAAUAUUGUACAACCCUGAAAGUUAAUCAUUCUUCUUUUCUGUGUUUGACAUUCCCUACCUUGCUAUAUCAAUUUGAAAUUUCAGGUGGACGGCAGCCACCUGCCUAGCCUUCUGGAGUGAUUGGCUUUGGUGUGUCAACUGCACCUACAAGUCCUUUUGGUUGUUCUUCAACAUUUGGUCAAACAUCUUCAAAUCCUUUUUCCCGCACAAUUACCACUCCAUUUAGUCUAAAACCUCCAUCCUUUAAUAGUACAGGUUUUACAACCUUGACUGCUAUAUCAAAUCCUUUUCAAUGGACAUCAUCAAGCCUUUUUGGCCCAACUUUGUCAUCAACAUCUUCAAUAUUUGGUUCUUCUUCCACUCCUACGUUUGGAACUGGUUCAUCUCCCUUUAGUCUGUCUGUCACUCCCUCAUUUUCAACUUCACCGUCCAUUUUUGGUGCUGGCGCAGCUCCUGCAACAACUCCAGCAUUUGCUACUGGUUUAAAUUUUAGCAUUUGCUACUGGUUCAAUUCUACCCCUGCAAUUGGGUAGACAAGCAAAGCUUUUGGGUGGAUGACCUCUACCUUUGGACAGAAUACUAGUAACUUUGGUCAAACAAGCAUUUUCAACACGCCUUCCACUGGAUUUAUUGGGAAUAUGUUUUCGAGUUCUCUAUCCUUGGCUCCUUCUAGUAACCCAGCUGCCUUCGGCACAACUGUAAGUUAUAAUGUUUGUUGCUUAGUCUUCAAUUUGAUCUAAGCGCUUUAUUUCUGUACAUUUUCAUCAUUCUGUUUUAGGGUUGCAGAAUUAUCUGCAUUUCUUCCUUCUUUUAUUGAACUGAGAGUUCAAAAUAAUUGUCUACUGUUGAGCCCUGUGGUGUAUGAUUGAUUGAAAAGUGGACUAGAUAUCCAAUUUAAUUGCUGAUAGGAUUCAGAUAUUUGCUUCUCAAUACGCCAAUUACAAUGCUAAACUUCUCGAUACAUUUCACAGAGGCGGAUUAAGUUGCCUUCAAGGAAAUAAUAUUUAGGUGAGGGUCCUACCACUCAUGAAAGAGCAACUCUAAUCCGCUGAUAUAAAAUAUUAUUACAUUCCUCACCAUAUAAGAUUACAGUUCUUACGUGUUUAUUUCAUUUGUUAAUCGAUAUCUUUAGGAUCAUUUUUCAGUGAUGAUGAAGAUACACCCAGCACACCUAAGUCUGAUGCUGUUUUUAUUCCUAGGGAAAACUCAAGGGCUCUGGGCAUUUAUCCUAGAGCUGGUCGACGGGAAAGGGCUGGUCGAGGGGAGAUGGGAUGUUAGUGCUCUUACCUGAAUCUUUGAAUUUUAAGGAG
rnacentral:lncRNA from 1 species